UGGGGAAUAUUGCACAAUGGGCGCAAGCCUGAUGCAGCCAUGCCGCGUGUAUGAAGAAGGCCUUCGGGUUGUAAAGUACUUUCAGCGGGGAGGAAGGCGAUAAGGUUAAUAACCUUGUCGAUUGACGUUACCCGCAGAAGAAGCACCGGCUAACUCCGUGCCAGCAGCCGCGGUAAUACGGAGGGUGCGAGCGUUAAUCGGAAUUACUGGGCGUAAAGCGCACGCAGGCGGUCUGUCAAGUCGGAUGUGAAAUCCCCGGGCUCAACCUGGGAACUGCAUUCGAAACUGGCAGGCUAGAGUCUUGUAGAGGGGGGUAGAAUUCCAGGUGUAGCGGUGAAAUGCGUAGAGAUCUGGAGGAAUACCGGUGGCGAAGGCGGCCCCCUGGACAAAGACUGACGCUCAGGUGCGAAAGCGUGGGGAGCAAACA
rnacentral:rRNA from 1 species